CCUAGUAAGUACAAGUCAUUAGCUUGUGCUGAUUACGUCCCUGCCCUUUGUACACACCGCCCGUCGCUACUACCGAUUGAAUGGCUUAGUGAGGCCUUCGGAUUGAGAUUCGGAGACUGGCAACAGACUCUGGGUUUUGAAAAGUUGGACAAACUUGGUCAUUUAGAGGAAGUAAAAGUCGUAACAAGGUUUCCGUAGGUGAACCUGCGGAAGGAUCAUUACCGAUUUUAGCGAACCUAACCUUUGGUUAUGGUCUCGCGAAAACUGUAUUUAAAACCCCACUCUUAUAAAUUGAAUCAUUCAUUAUUAUGUAUAAUAAAUAAAGAUCACUUUCAACAACGGAUCUCUUGGCUCUCGCAUCGAUGAAGAACGUAGCGAAGUGCGAUAAGUAGUGUGAAUUGCAGAAUUCCGUGAAUCAUCGAAUCUUUGAACGCAAAUUGCGCUUCCUGGCAUCCCGGGAAGUAUGCCUGUUUGAGGGUCAGUAUUAAUAAAAAAUCGGUUUGGUCGCAAAUUGUGACGUUUCCGGAGUUUGGGCUAUCUUAACUUUUUUUUGGUUAAGAGGCUUAAAAUUGACCUUUUUUGCGCAUUUUUAGACGUACAUAAAUUUUUUUUUAUUCGUCUAUUCUUAAUGCCAAAAUCUUAUUAGAUGCGAUCACAUCGUGUGGUUUCGUGUCCAUAAAAUUUUCAUGAUUUGACCUCAAAUCAGGUAGGAGUACCCGCUGAACUUAAGCAUAUCAAUAAGCGGAGGAAAAGAAAAUAACAAUGAUUCCCCUAGUAACUGCGAGUGAAGAGGGACAAGCUCAAAUUUUAAAUCUGUCGGGUUCUACCUGACCGAGUUGUAAUUUGAAGAGGCGUUUUCUGUGUUUCUGAUCAGUCCAAGUCCUUUGGGAUAAGGCAUCACGGAGGGUGAGAAUCCCGUUCGGUUGAUCAGAUUCGCUUUACGAUACGCUUUCAAAGAGUCAAGUUGUUUGGGAUUGCAGCUUAAAAUGGGAGGUAAAUUUCUCCUAAGGCUAAAUAACGGCGAGAGACCGAUAGCGAACAAGUACCGUGAGGGAAAGAUGAAAAGAACUUUGAAAAGAGAGUUAAACAGUACGUGAAAUUGUUGAAAGGGAAACGAUUGAAGUCAGUCAUACCAACGGGAAAUCAACCUUUUGAGUAUAAUUUUGGGAUGUUAAAGAGUUUAAAAACUUUUGAUGUUUCAUAUAUUUUGCUUUUUAGUGUAUUUUCUCGUAACGGUAAGUUAACAUCGAUUUUGAAUAUUAUAAAAUGACUGGAGGAAUGUGGCUUCGAUCUUGUAUUGAAGUGUUAUAGCCUUUAGUAAAUGUAAUGAUCAAGAUCGAGGAUUGCAACGAAUAUCCUUUUGGGCUAUCCGUCUGAUCUCUGAUACGUUGCUUUGGUAUCGAAAGCGUGCUUAUGGUAUUAAGGUAUUACGGUCAAAAGGUUAGAACGUGAUUACAUUCGUUAAGGAUGUUGACGUAAUGACUUUAAACGACCCGUCUUGAAACAUGGACCAAGGAGUCUAACAUAU
rnacentral:sRNA from 1 species